rnacentral:lncRNA from 10 species
UUACUCUGAAAGAAGCAUGGCAACAGUACAAUAUUGCCGAUGCUUUGGUAGUGAUAAAAGAGGUGAUGGGUGAUAUAAAAUCAGCCACUCUUAAGCUUGCUGGAAACUGUGGGAGGAUGUGUGAAUGAUGCAUAUUUCCCUAGAGCUAAUGAAGAAGUUAAAAAAAAUCUUAGUGUCUGCAAAACAGGAAGAAGUCUUUGCAGAGGAAAUUGAAUGCUGUCUGAUGCUACAAUUCAUAUGGAUCCUUUCCUGGAUUGAAGCCUGACUUUUAAAAAAGGUUUCAAUAAAUUGCUUAUACCUAUGAAGAGAUGCAAAAGAACCUUCAAAAUAAAGCAAAGGACUUGAAGAAAGAGAAGGAAGACAUGAAGAAGAGGAUGUCAUUUAGGUGAAGGGCCAUGCUGGAUAAGGAGCUGGCUGCCUCUGUGAACAUCCUACUCAAGGCAUCUUCACUGCACCCAACGUACAGAAUAUUUAAGCAUACAUUUGAAGCAACAUGUGAAUGUAUACAUAUGCUGUGAUUUAUUAAGCAUGUUACGGGAACUUUAAAACACCUCAUUCAGCAGAAAGGAGGCAGAGGAUUAUAAUCCUCAUUUGACAGAUGGGACACUGAGGCCCAAGUCCUCAUGUUCCUUCAGUCUAGAAAGUGAAGAGAACUUGCACUGUGUGACAAGGGCCAGGCGAAAGACACAGGAGAGGAAGAUAGAUUCCUGUAGACCUUGUUUGUCAGGGAAGAUCCCUUGGGAAAGGCUGUACAUCCUUUUGAAAUCCCAGAGAUCUUCAGUCUCCCUGUGGAUUAAGGAGAUGUGCAGUAUUUAAAGUGGCUUCAGGAAGGCAUGGAAGAGGACUGAGUGGGGAAAGCUUUUUGUGCAUGCUGCUGGCUACCUCCAGCGGCUGCCUCCAGCCUCCAUCAGCUGCACUCUGGGGAAGAGGAGGCUGCCUUCUACCUCCCAGCAUCUCUGGAUUUCAUGUUCCUGUCAGCACAGAGGAGCUAAAUGGCCUGUAGAGGCUGAAGGUCUGAGGCUCCUAAAGCUGG